CAGAUUAUCUUAUAUUUAACAAUAACAAAAGUACGAGUACUUGCCCAAUGUGAAGUGAACCCUGGUUUGACAUUGCGUCCGGUCCAUGUCAAUUCUAAGCAUGAUUUGCAUUGGUCUGUUUAUCAGACAUGUAUAGUUUUUUGUACUUAAUUCAGCCCAUGCAGGUUAAUGUGCCAUACCCUGCACAAGCUAGCAACUCGGGAUGUUGAAACCAUUUUGGUGAAACCAUCCAAAGGUCACGCAACCUUCGGUUGCAGUUUGUCGUCUAGAUAAACAAACACGAAUUCAUUGAGAAAGGAUACAGAGUGCGACAAAAAAGCAGUCAAAACCUGGCCAAAUAGGAGAUACCGCGUUCUUUCUUGCAGAAACCUGUUGCCUCAAACGGCGCUUGGAGGCACCUGAAAUAUAAACAUGGACGGUUCAGAAAACGCGGGCAUUACGAACGGUGUGACGAAAUGACAGAAAUAUCCGACUUUAACGCACCAUCAAGUUAUGCAACAUAUCAAACUUCCGUGUUCUUUAGUAUUAAAAUCCAUGUAAUAGAAAACUAGCAUGGUGGAAGAAGUUGACGAACAAGCCUAUGAAAAUUCGUCUGUUAAUUUCACUUGGUUACUCAUGAUAUUGUUGUGUCUGCAUCCGCUUCUCGCUGCUUGUUGUACUGUCCGGAUGUCACGUCCACGAGGCCGGCCCGGAACUCAGAGGCCGUAACGUAGCAAUCUGAUGCUACUCCAGCACUGCCUCAGAGGUUAUUGUUCCUGUUGAUGUUUUUAGCAGUCGCGGUUCAUUGCGGAAAUAGUUGAUUUAAAGCUCUAGGGACAAGCGCGAUUAUGGUCCAUCCUCGCGUAUGGCACGUAACGUAGCCGGCAGGACCUGUUUCUGUGAGCCUUCACCUCUAGCAACAGGACGCUGAACGUCAAAAUUACCAAUACCGUAGCACGUCCCACUGGUUCGCCUGGGGUACGGCGUUGUGAAUUGGAAAGCGCAUUUUGCGCGUUGCAUAUAUGAAGUGGAAGAAGAUGAGGUAACUGAACUAGCGCAUGGGCGGACGUGAACAGGGCCUGCGAACCUCAAAAACGUAACUAUAUUAUCCUACUUUAAUGUAUGGCUACUGCAGGGGCAGGCAGAAGUUAGUUGGCUUGAGCAAGCGCCAACAAUUUGAGUUGACUUUUACCAAAGGUGUAAGUAUAUGCACAUGUACUCACCAAGUAAAUAAAAUAUGUCUUCUUCUUUUCGUAUGGGUUAUGCCCAUUAGUAAGCUGCUACGAAAAUAUCCUGAAUGAUUCAAGUCUAACAGCCGCUGAGUAUAAGUCGUAUU